UGGGGAAUUUUGCACAAUGGGGGGAACCUUGAUGCAGCGACGCCGCGUGAGGGAUGGAGGCCUUCGGGUUGUGAACCUCUUUCGCUCGUGUGCAAGCCGCUAUUUGGGUAGUGGUGAGUGUAGCGGGUAAAGAAGCGCCGGCUAACUACGUGCCAGCAGCCGCGGUAAUACGUAGGGCGCGAGCGUUGUCCGGAUUUAUUGGGCGUAACGGGCUUGUAGGCGGUUUGUCGCGCCUGUCGUGUAAUCCUCUGGCUUAACUGGGGGUGUGCGGUGGGUACGGGCAGGCUUGAGGGCGGUAGGGGAGAUUGGAAUUCCUGGUGUAGCGGUGGAAUGCGCAGAUAUCAGGAGGAACACCGGUGGCGAAGGCGGGUCUCUGGGCCGUUACUGACGCUGAGGAGCGAAAGCGUGGGGAGCGAACAGG
rnacentral:rRNA from 1 species